UUCUUUAUACACUGCCUAGGUAAUAACUGUAGAGACAGUACCUUGUGCCCAGCUUAUGCCACCUGCACCAACACAGUGGACAGUUACUAUUGUGCUUGCAAACAAGGUUUCCUGUCCAGCAAUGGACAAAAUCACUUCAAGGGUCCAGGAGUGCAAUGCAAAGAUAUUGAUGAAUGUUCUCAAAGCCCCCAGCCCUGUGGUCCUAACUCAUCCUGUGAAAACCUGUCGGGGAGGUACAAGUGCAGCUGUUUAGAUGGUUUCUCUUCUCCCACUGGAAAUGACUGGAUCCCAGGAAAGCCGGGCAAUUUCUCCUGUACUGAUAUCAAUGAGUGCCUCACCAGCACGGUCUGCCCUGAGCAUUCUGACUGUGUCAACUCCAUGGGAAGCUACAAUUGCAGCUGUCAAGUUGGAUUCAUCUCUAGAAACUCCACCUGUGAAGGUAUACAUGACCAUCUCUUUAUUAUUUACCUACUUUAUUAAUUAAGGGUCAUCUCACUGGAAGACCAUAUGAGAAAGGGAUUUUCUGUAGGGAUGAGAAAAUUGGGGCUCAGAGAGGUAAAAAUACAUAGUUGCUUAUAUCACAUCUUUUUCUAUCCCUUUACUUUGGGCCUGUGGGUGUCUUUACAUGUUAGGUAGGUCUCUUGUAGGCAGCACAUGGUUGGGUCUUUUUAAGAAAUUUUUUAUCUGGUUUAAAAAUCUAUAUCUUUCAAGUGGAGCAUUAGGCCAUUUCUGUUCAAGGUUAAUAUUGAUAUUUGAGGGGUUUGUUCCUGUCACAGCAUUGCUAGCUAGUAUUGCUAGCAAACGUGAUUUCCUU
rnacentral:sRNA from 1 species